GACGAACCGUGCGAACGUUGUUCGGAUUCACUGGGCUUAAAGGGCGCGUAGGCGGGCGACCAAGUCAGGGGUGAAAUCUUUCGGCCCAACCGGAAAAGUGCCCCUGAUACUGGCCGCCUCGAGGGGGGUAGGGGCAUGCGGAACUUCCGGUGGAGCGGUGAAAUGCGUAGAUAUCGGAAGGAACGCCGGUGGCGAAAGCGGCGUGCUGGACCCCUUCUGACGCUGAGGCGCGAAAGCCAGGGGAG
rnacentral:rRNA from 1 species